rnacentral:rRNA from 1 species
AUUGAACGCUGGCGGCAGGCCUAAUACAUGCAAGUCGAACGAGUGGCGGACGGGUGAGUAAUGUCUGGGAAACUGCCUGAUGGAGGGGUAUAACUACUGGAAACGGUAGCUAAUACCGCAUACCAUCGGAUGUGCCCAGAUGGGAUUAGCUUGUCGGUGAGGUAACGGCUCACCUAGGCGACGAUCCCUAGCUGUUCUGCGAGGAUGACCAGCCACACUGGAACUGAGACACGGUCCAGACUCCUACGGGAGGCAGCAGUGGGGAAUAUUGCACAAUGGGCGCAAGCCUGAUGCAGCCAUGCCGCGUGUAUGAAGAAGGCCUUCGGGUUGUAAAGUACUUUCAGCGGGGAGGCGUUACCCGCAGAAGAAGCACCGGCUAACUCCGUGCCAGCAGCCGCGGUAAUUC